AUGAACCGACAGGCGGCUCGAUCUGGGGCGGAUGGAUUGGCCUGCAGCAGAGGAGCAGGCUGCAGCGACGGGCCGGUCUGCAGUGACAGAGCCGCGACCUGGAGUUGUAGAUGUCCGGACACGAAACAACAGCAGCAACGACGAGGCCGGCGACCGGCAGCCGCGGAAGGCAACAGCACCGCUGACGAGGCCGGCGGCCGGCAGCCGCGAAGGAAGACAAAUGGCCGGCGGCGAUCUUGGAGGAAACAAGCGGCCAUCGGCUCAAUCGAUCGGCACGAAAUCCGAUAUAGAAUCCAACACAGCGAUGGAUCAGCUAGCUAG
rnacentral:rRNA from 1 species